GAUGAAGAACGUAGCGAAAUGCGAUACGUAAUGUGAAUUGCAGAAUUCAGUGAAUCAUCGAGUCUUUGAACGCACAUUGCGCCCGCCAGCACUCUGGCGGGCAUGCCUGUCCGAGCGUCAUUUCAACCCUCAGGGCCCCUUCGGGGGACCUGGCGUUGGGGAUCGGCCCGCCCCCGUGCGGCGCCGUCCCCGAAAUAUAGUGGCGGUCUCGCUGCAGCCUCCCCUGCGUAGUAGCACACCUCGCACUGGAGAGCGGCGCGGCCACGCCGUGAAACCCCCAACUUCUGAAUGUUGACCUCGGAUCAGGUAGGAAUACCCGCUGAACUUAAGCAUAUCAAUAAGCGGAGGA
rnacentral:misc_RNA from 1 species